UCGCGCCCCCAGGUCAGGCGAGAAC
rnacentral:rRNA from 1 species